UACGUAGGGUGCGAGCGUUGUCCGGAAUUAUUGGGCGUAAAGAGCUCGUAGGCGGUGUGUCACGUCGGCCGUGAAAACCUGCAGCUUAACUGUGGGCGUGCGGUCGAUACGGGCAUCACUGGAGUUCGGCAGGGGAGACUGGAAUUCCUGGUGUAGCGGUGGAAUGCGCAGAUAUCAGGAGGAACACCGAUGGCGAAGGCAGGUCACUGGGCCGCAACUGACGCUGAGGAGCGAAAGCAUGGGGAGCGAACAGG
rnacentral:rRNA from 1 species